UGGCGGCGUCGGGCUGGGAGCGGGCGCUGCGGCUCGUGCUGUGCGCGCUGGGGCUGGCGCUCUCCGUGUACGCACUGCACGUGGAGAGCUCGCGGGAGCGGGCCCCCGGGUACCGGGCCAUGUGCGACCUGAGCCCCUCCGUCAGCUGCUCCAAGGUCUUCACCUCCAGGCUUCGGAGAGCUGCCAAUCUCGCACCAACAGGUCCAGAGCCUGCAACAGAGAGCGCAGGAGAAGGGUCACACUGGGGCUGGGAGCACAGAGAGGAGACCAGAGCUGGAGGCUGCUGCCGAACCCAGCCACCGACAUCGAGAUCCUGGGCAUGACGGGACGCGCUAGACAUCAAUGAGAAGAACCCCAGUGAUUCGGGAGGAAAUCGGAAAACUGAAAAAGUCCAGUUUCCAUUUAGAUCUGGUGAGUAGCAUCAGCAGCCAAUGAGCCAACCACUCUGUUGAACGGCGGUAGCAGGAUCUUCUGGGUGCUGAGCUGGGAGAAUGGAGGUGACACAGAGCCUCUAGCGUGGGGGGAUGGAGAAUGGGAGCACAUAGACCCCUGGCAUGUGGGGAGGGGCACACAGAGGUAGGGCUGGGGGAUGGGACAUAGGGUCAGGGUUAGAGUUGGUUGGGUAGAUUCCAAUGGAACAUUUUUCCCAUCACAAACAUUUCCCUAACGCAGAGCAUUAUGGUUUGCCCCAGGCUGGUUCCUGCCAAUCCAGGCUGAGUGUCUGGGCGCAGGGCAGGUGGAGGUGUCUCCUGCCCCAUACUCAGCAAAUGCAGAGCGCAGGGCUGGGCGGCACGGGUCUACUGGGGCGUCGCUUCAAGAGGGCCGAGGUACGGCUGGGCUGGCGUUUCCCUUAACUCUGCAGGCCCUGGUUUGGCUGAGCACGACACUCUGGAUGGGCACAUGUGGCCCCCCACCAGAAAGCCCUGCUGGAACUGGUCAGUCUUGAGAAAUGCUGAUUUAUUGGGGGGAAGAGGGGGAGCUCUAUCUGGCCCUUGCUCCGCCCGCCCCACCUUUGGGUCACCAAACCCACUGGGCGCCACCACGAGGCUCCCGACCCUCCCGGCAACCUGAGUCCGCAGGCGCAUUGCAGAUCAUUUAGGGGAGUCGACCAGGACACAGAAAUCUCUUCUCCACCUGUAAUGACCAACCACCCAGAGCUACAGGGCUAAUGAAUAAGAGCCGCCAGAUAAUGGUAAUUAACCGUGAAUACGACAAUUGCAAAUAUUUAAUAAAUACUCAUCACUGGUACUGUUUAGACUCUGCAUCUGAAGCCCGGCCUAGCGGGAGAUCUCUGGGACUUUCUAACCAUCAAUAACAGCCCCAAAGCCUAUAGACUUCCCCUUCUCCAAUCCUAACAGCGCCUGGACUCCUGGGUCCUUUCCAGCAGGGCCAAGGCUGAGAGGUCAGUGUCAGUAGAGCCGUGUGUAUCCCCUGCCCCACCCACCUCCAGAUAAUCUGCCUCCGUCCGCGUAAACAUGCUGGAAAUGUUAAAAAUCUAGAAAAUAAUCAAAAGAAAAGGUGAGCGCCCC